GAGCGAAGCACCUUGACGGAUUCUUCGGAUUGAAGCCUUGGUGACUGAGCGGCGGACGGGUGAGUAACGCGUGGGUAACCUGCCUCAUACAGGGGGAUAACAGUUGGAAACGGCUGCUAAUACCGCAUAAGCGCACAGUACCGCAUGGUACGGUGUGAAAAACUCCGGUGGUAUGAGAUGGACCCGCGUCUGAUUAGGUAGUUGGUGGGGUAACGGCCUACCAAGCCGACGAUCAGUAGCCGACCUGAGAGGGUGACCGGCCACAUUGGGACUGAGACACGGCCCAAACUCCUACGGGAGGCAGCAGUGGGGAAUAUUGCACAAUGGGGGAAACCCUGAUGCAGCGACGCCGCGUGAGCGAUGAAGUAUUUCGGUAUGUAAAGCUCUAUCAGCAGGGAAGAAAAUGACGGUACCUGACUAAGAAGCCCCGGCUAACUACGUGCCAGCAGCCGCGGUAAUACGUAGGGGGCAAGCGUUAUCCGGAUUUACUGGGUGUAAAGGGAGCGUAGACGGCAUGGCAAGCCAGAUGUGAAAGCCCGGGGCUCAACCCCGGGACUGCAUUUGGAACUGUCAGGCUAGAGUGUCGGAGAGGAAAGCGGAAUUCCUAGUGUAGCGGUGAAAUGCGUAGAUAUUAGGAGGAACACCAGUGGCGAAGGCGGCUUUCUGGACGGUGACUGACGUUGAGGCUCGAAAGCGUGGGGAGCAAAC
rnacentral:rRNA from 1 species